CAUACUACCACGGUGAAACACCGAUUCUUGUACGAUCUCCGAAGUUAAGCAACGUCGAACCUGGUCAAUACAGAGAUGGGUGACCUUUUGGGAAUAUCA